UCUCUGUCCCAAAAAUAAAUAAACGUUGAAAAAAAAAAUUUAAAACUAUAGCCUGUAAAUUUAAAAAUAAUCUAGGACUCUCAUUACAUUUACUUUGAUGUUAUAAUCCAAGUAAUGCAAACACACACACACACACACACACACACACACACACACCGGGCAAGUUAUCACAAAUGAAGUUUUAUUCUUCAUCAGAGAGGAUUAGAUAUAAUCUUGCUCUAGAAUGGGAACAUUAAUGACAUGUCUUGAAGUCUAGCUGUUGAAAAUCAUAAACUAAGGAUAUGCAUUAUUGGCCCUCUGCGGGUUAGCCCAACAACCCAUAACAAAUUAAACUGAUUAUGAAGUUAACCAAUAGUAAUUUAUCUUUAAAAGGCACAGAUGGUAGCAACUGAAAACCAUGAAAAGCUCAUCAUGGAUAAUAAAUUAUUCUUCUUGAAGAUUUUGGGAUUUCCUACUACCAGCAAUCGUCUUGGCCGGUAGGAUACUGAUAGUUGGUGGCAUAUCUCGUGACCAAGUUAAGGUCUGUUACUCAAAUUCUGAAUCUGCAACAUUAGAAUGGAUGUGCAGUCCACAAAGUCACUGGCAAACUUUCCGAAUCAUCUUUUCUUCCUCCGUGCAUUGGGGAAAUGGGGAAGUGAAGCAUUCACUUUAAUCAAAAGAUCUUUUAAGAAGUCACUAUCAAACAAAUUGCUACUCCUUUACCUGACCACAUUCCAACACAGAACACCUAACCAGAUGGCUGUUGCAGAGAUUCACAAUUUACACUGCCCUUAGAACCUUGUUUGCAAGAUCUGUGCUUGAGGUUGGGAAGUUCACAGAGACUGAGGAGGUGGAGUUUAUUCUCACUGUGUGGUUGUCCAAAACAAAGUCAAAUUAGACCAUCUGUUUGUUCAAACACGAAGCUGAUAAACCUUAGCUUCCAGGAGCAGAAGACAGGCUUAAGCCGUAAACUGAGAGUAUCGGUAUGCAACACUCCAGCCAUUGUUCUCUUUUCCAUUUCUCCUUCCCCAAGGGAUGUGCCAAGUCCAAUAAUAAGUAAAACUUACCAAUAAUUUUUAAAAAUUUAACAAAAACUUGUUUCAUGCUUUUAUUUACUCUUCUUGUGACAGCUUUUUCUAACAAGCAAACUAAUCUAGGAA